CCUACGGGAGGCAGCAGUGGGGAAUAUUGGGCAAUGGGCGCAAGCCUGACCCAGCAACGCCGCGUGAAGGAAGAAGGCUUUCGGGUUGUAAACUUCUUUUGUCAGGGACGAAGCAAGUGACGGUACCUGACGACUAAGCCACGGCUAACUACGUGCCAGCAGCCGCGGGAAUACGUAGGUGGCAAGCGUUAUCCGGAUUUACUGGGUGUAAAGGGCGUGUAGGCGGGGAAGCAAGUCAGAUGUGAAAACCACGGGCUCAACCUGUGGCCUGCAUUUGAAACUGUUUUUCUUGAGUGCUGGAGAGGCAAUCGGAAUUCCGUGUGUAGCGGUGAAAUGCGUAGAUAUACGGAGGAACACCAGUGGCGAAGGCGGAUUGCUGGACAGUAACUGACGCUGAGGCGCGAAAGCGUGGGGAGCAAACAGGAUUAGAUACCCUAGUAGUC
rnacentral:rRNA from 1 species